rnacentral:piRNA from 1 species
UGCAGUGAGCCUUGGUCAUGCCACUACUGA